CCUACGGGAGGCAGCAGUGAGGAAUAUUGCGCAAUGAGCGAAAGCUAGACGCAGCAACGCCGCGUGGACGAUGAAGGCCUUCGGGUCGUAAAGUCCUUUUCAGAGGGACGAGUGAGGACGGUACCUCUGGAAUAAGUCACGGCUAACUACGUGCCAGCAGCCGCGGUAAAACGUAGGUGGCGAGCGUUAUCCGGAUUCACUGGGCGUAAAGCGCCUGCAGGCGGUCUUGUAAGUGGGAUGUGAAAUCUCCUGGCUUAACUGGGAGGGGCCAUUCCAUACUGCGAGGCUUGAGGGCAGAAGAGGGAAGCGGAAUUCCCGGUGUAGUGGUGAAAUGCGUAGAUAUCGGGAGGAACACCAGUGGCGAAGGCGGCUUCCUGGCCUGCACCUGACGCUAAGAGGCGAAAGCUAGGGGAGCGAACGGGAUUAGAAACCCCGGUAGUCCUAGCUAUAAACGAUGGACACUAGAUAUUCCUGCGUUUAUGUGGGAGUGUCGAAGCUAACGCGUUAAGUGUCCCGCCUGGGGAGUACGGUCGCAAGGCUGAAACUUAAAGGAAUUGACGG
rnacentral:rRNA from 1 species